CUGCGGCGAACCUCGAUUCGAACUCGACUGCGACAGCAACAACCGCACCGUUUUAUCCUUAAACCAUGGCAGAUUCUACGUCCAAAAGAUCUGGUACGAAUACUCUACGAUCCGAGCUAUUGACCCAAACCUCGCUGUGGAUGAUUGUUCCCUUCCUCGCGGCUCCUUAUUGUUCUGGGAUAAAAGGCCGUAUCCUUGGGUUUUCCCAUUGAGUUUCAUGUAUGUAGUGAACUGCACAAAGGCGAUUAAAUCAUCUUUGUAUAUUGAUGCCUCGCGUUGCCCCGUUAACUCUUCCGGUUCUGAUCCGCCACCAGAUUCAUACGUUUAUUUUCUGGGUGAACGAACUUCGCCUCGAGAUUUCGAUGAGUCUUGCAGAAUCGAAGCUACGGUUCCUGUUAUGGUUCAGAAUAUAAGUGGCUUCUCUACUUCGGACAUCUACGAGAAGCUGUUAAAGCCGGGGUUCGAAUUGUCUUGGAGCUUCGGUUCCAAGUCGCAGCAGGCCAGUCCUAUCCAUGCCUUGUAAGUUCAAUAUAAAAAAAAAUUAAUAGUCAUACUUCAUUAUAAUUGUCUGGUUAUAUUCUUUGUAAAUUUAAUAUACUUUUACUUUUAGUAAUCUUUAUUUUUCAGAUUUCAAAAUUUAGGUUCAAUUAUUAAAAUUAUUUUGUUAUAGGGCGAAACCGGAAACUUUUUUUAAGGGAGUCGAAAUUAAUUGUAAUUUUUACGAUAAUAAAAAUGUAAUUUCAUCAUUUUAAUAGUUUAUAUCUUUAUAAUUUUUAAAUGAUUAAAUCAAUUUUUUAUUAUUUUUAAGGGGUCAAAGUAUAAUUUUACUUUUAUUAAUUUAAAAUUUUAAAAACUUUAAAGGGCUAAAAUGAAAUUUUUUUCUGGAGUCAAGGGUUUGCCCUCUCCUUAGGUACGCCCUGAUUAUAAUAUUAUUUUUUAAUUAUAUUAUUAAUAAAUGAAUAUUUUUUAUUUUAAAAUGUUACAUUGAUAAAUUUUAUAAUAUUAACAAUUAAAUUUAAAAUUUGAAAGAAAAAAAAAAGAUAAUAUGAAAUUUUUGAAAAAAUAUAAAGAUUAAAUUUCAAAUUUGUGAAUAGUAACCAGAAAAGAGAAAGAUGUAUAGUUUUUAUUCUUUUUUAUAAAUAUAUAUUUACCAUUUUAAUUUAAAAUGAGGUAUAUUUUCUCGUAAUUAUUUACAAAUAUUUUUCAGGUUAGGAGACUUGGAAUAUGCCUUGCAAAGUUACAUUGACAGCUUCAUCCAUUACUUAUUCAAAGGCCCCCAUAUUGCCGCCCAUGCUUCAUAUUAUGCACCUAAAAGUAUGGUUAAUUUCCAAAACUUCCUUAUUAUUUGUAAUUUUUUUCCUUUUUUUUCCCUUAUAUUCAAUUAAUUAUUUUUUCUUACUUUUAUUGUUUUUUUAGGUACUUAUAUUUUAUGUCUUCAAAUAACAGGUAAGCUUUAAAUUUUAGCUAAAAUGAAUAUUUAAAGAGUUUAUUAGAUAUUUUUAAAAAAAUACUAAUAUGUUGAAAUUUAAUUUUCUUUUUAAAGGAGGAUUUAUCUUAGCAAGGAUUUUGCCCGGGAUAAUUUGCUUGAUUGGACUUGUUAUUUACAAAUGGAGAAGAAGACAUUUAUGUGCAGAUGAUACGAUCGAAGAGUUUCUUGAACGUCAAAAAGAUUUGAUGCCGAUAAGGUAUUCUUAUCGCGAAAUAGAGAAAAUGAGUAAUGGUUUUAAGGAUAAAUUAGGCGAAGGCGGUUAUGGUUCGGUGUUUAAAGGAAAGCUUCGUAGUGGUUAUUUUGUAGCAAUAAAGUUAUUGGGGAAGGCAAAAGGUAAUGGCCAGGAUUUCAUCAAUGAAGUUGCUACGAUCGGGAGGAUUCAUCAUGUUAAUGUGGCGAAACUUACUGGAUUUUGUGUUGAGGGAUCAAAACAAGCUCUCGUUUAUGAUUUUAUGCCGAAUGGAUCUCUAGAUCGGAUUAUAUUCACAAAAGAAAACAAGGUUGACUUAAGUUGGAAAAAGAUGUUUGAUAUUGCACUUGGGGUGGCUCGAGGGCUCGACUACUUACAUCAAGGAUGUGACAUGCAGAUUUUACAUUUUGAUAUCAAGCCGCACAAUAUUUUACUAGACGAGAACUUUACACCAAAAGUUGCAGAUUUUGGUCUUGCUAAACGAUUUUCAGUAGAUGAUAGCAUCGUAUCUCUAACAGUAGCACGAGGUACGAUAGGUUACAUUGCUCCUGAAUUGGUCUACAAAAACCUCGGAGGCGUCUCAUAUAAAGCCGAUGUUUACAGCUUCGGAAUGUUAUUAAUGGAAAUCAUAGGAAGGAGGAAGAAUAUGAACACAUCUGCCGAACACGAAAGCCAAAAAUACUUCCCGUCAUGGAUUUACGAUCGAUACUAUCAUGGAGAAGAUGUAGAUUUGGGAGAUGUUACGGAUGACGAAAAGAUUAUCGUGAAGAAGAUGGUGAUAAUAGCUUCUUGGUGUGUACAAGUAAAACCUAAUGGUCGUCCUUCGAUGAGCAAAGUCUUGGAAAUGUUCGAAACGGAUGUCGAGCUCCUCCAAAUGCCUUCGAAACCUUUUCAACUUCCCUUUGAAGUAGCAACGGCUACUCAAUCCUAUGCUUCAACCAAAGAUCAACCCCAUGAUAGUUCAACUGAUGAGACAUCUGAUUUACUCCAUUCUUCAAAUGAAAUUAGUGUAAGUAUAUUGUAAGCUACCUCUUCAUAUAUGAUUCAUUGACCAUGGUUGGUUUAAUUUGGUUUUUUUUUUUCUUAUAUUUCGAGCUCUGAUAUACUUUAUGAUAUGUUUGUAUAUUAUGGUCGUGUUUAAAAUGCUAUAUAUUUAUAAAAAAAUUUGAUGUAUUAAUAAUUAGAAAAUCUUAUUUUAAGUACUGUUUUUUAGAAAAAUAAAAAUAAAAUUUUUCAUUUUAAAUAAUAUAAAACAUAUAAAUUUAUAUUAUAUUAAUUAAUUAUUAUAUUUUAUAAAAUCUAGUCAACAUAAUAAUAAUUUUUUAAUAUAUAUAAAAUAAACGAUAUAACUUUUUUGGAUUUUUAAUUAAUUAUUUAAAAAACAUAAAUUAUUUUGCUUUCGUUGACCCAUGAUAAUGUUUCGUUAGUUGAUUUAAUUUUUUUAACAUAAAAUGUAUAGAUGGAUAAUGGAUAUACAAAAUGAAAGUAUGGUAACCAAAUUAAUAAAAAAAACUAAACUGAUAAAAAAUAAUUUAAAUAUCAAAAUAAUAAUUGAACUAUAGGAGUCAAAAGCCUAUUAAUUAAUUUUAGGGUAAAUUACAUCGUUAGUUAUUAAACUAUAAAUAAUUUUUUGUUUUGUUCACUUACAAUUUAGUCAUUGAAUUAUUUAAUUUUUUCGUUUAAGUUACUGGACUAUUAAAAUCGAUGUUAUAUGAUUUUUCUGUUUGCUCUUUUUUCAUAGCUAGGUUUGGGUAUCAUGAAUCUGUGAAUCAAAAAUUCAAAUAGCUUAUUUCUCUGAUCUCCGACGUUGACCGUCAGAUUAACUUGGAUCUAAGGUAUAUCUUUUUACUCGUCGCUGGCUAUCGACCCACCAUACUGACUAUCGAAUUGUCACUUAAAAUUCACUGGCAGGACUUUUUUAUAUACAAAAAAAUAUUAAGAACCAAAUCACUUAAAUAAAAAAUUUUAAAUAAUCUAUUGAACAAAUUAUAACUUUUAUAAUUAAAUUAGGAAAACCAAAACUUACUCAUAAUUUAUUCUGAUUAGCUUCACGCGUGGACUUUCACAAAUAUUAAUAAUAGUUUGAAACCUUGGCAUACUCACUCCAAACCAUAUAAAACCAAUCAAAAAUAGAUAUGUUUUGUUAACAAAAUUCUAUCACAUUUUUUCACAAUGCUGAAACUAGAAUUACCUCCAUUAUCAAGCCUCAUCCUCAUCUUCCUUCUGUUUCUAUGUCCCCAAUCUUCCAUCUCCAGGACCCUGCCCAAGCGCUGCGGCAUUACUCAGUGUGGAAACGUUAACAUCAGCCACCCUUUUCGCUUAAAAGCUCAGCCGCCGGAGUGCGGCGACUGCCUCUUCGAACUCGACUGCGAAGCCGAUAUCAACCAACUCACGUUCUUCAGGCGAUAUAAUAAAUUCCAAGUCCAUGAAAUCUUUUAUGAAAAUUCAACACUUACAGUUUCGUAUCAAAAUCAGGUCACCGGUAAUUGCUCUCUUCCACCGACCGGUCGGUUCUACGAAGAUUUUUUCUUUUGUGAGAAGCUUCUCUUCCCGGCAUGGCUCAUUGACGAUGAAUCGUCGCCAGGUGUAAUUGAAGCACAACACAGCUUGGAGGAGUCAAAUGUGCCCCUUUUUCAUAGACUACCAUCAAAUCUUCUCAAUUCUAUUCAAUUACCAAGUGAGGCAUUCUGGGCCACUGGUGGUCGCCCUCCGUUCUUGCUAACAAUCUCCAUUAAUUACCACUACUUGGAGAAUUCAGUUCAGCUUCAUCUUCAAGCCUCAACCAUAGCCAAGAGAAUGAUAAACAAAAAACUUGAUUUAUAACUAGGAAAUCUGGGUUUGUUGAGCAACAUUUUCCGAGUUUUGUUUCAUUUUCGCUAAAUGGAUGAGAAAAGGCUCAUCUGCCAUCUCAGAAAACAAAAAAGAAAAAGAAGCAAGAGAAGAGAAAGAACAAAAAGGAAAAAGAAAAAAGCAGGGUGUUUUUAGCUAAUUACAAAGAGGAUAUAUGUCAGUCACUUACUGUGUUAUAUCAACAAUUCAUUCAUUAGUAAUUAACAAAAUUUUUAAUAGUCAAUUAUCUUAAUUAAAAUGACUAAAUUAAAAAAAAUAGAAUGACCAAAAUAGAAUAAACCCUAUAUUUAGAGUAACUAGUUUAUUUUUUUUGUAAUUUCAUAUUCAUUUCAAUAUCAAUUAUUUCAUUGCCGUUAUGUUUUUAAUUUAGUUUUGCUAUUGUGUUAUUUGUUAUUUUUGUUUUCUUUUAAACUUCUUUAAACUAAAAACAAAGAAAAACAACAUUGCUAUUUUGUCAUAUUUUAAAUUUUUUGAACUAAAAGAACAUGUAUAAUUUUUUGUUAAUUCAAGUCAUUAACUGAAAUUAAUUGGGUUCGAUUAAUGAGUUUAAAAAAAAUUCAAUUUGGUUAAUGAUUAAAAGAUUUAAAAUUUCUGUUAAUUUGAUUAACGAUAGUUUGGUUCAAGUAUUAAUCGAGUAAUACUCCUACCAAAUACUCGCUCAAUCCAAAUACAAAAAAUAUUGUUGAAAUUUGUUGGAGUGUCUCAUACGCACAAUAGAAGGUAUUGUCUUUGUAGGGAUUUUGUCUUCCAUGCUCUAAGGAGAGCCUAAAGGGGUUAACGGAGUUUAGGAAGCGCCUCGAUUGGUAGAGAUAUGGCUUACAAGUUCAUGAAAAAGGUGUCAAUAUUAUGCAAAAUAUUAAUUAUGCACAUUGCACCUAUGGGAUUUUGAGCCACCAACCAAGGCACAGAGGCCUUACCUUUGCAUCUAUGGUAUGAUAUAAUAAUACAAUUACAUAAUUUUAAAUUUAAAAAAAUAUCAAUUAUUAUAAAAAAUUUAUCAAUAAUCCUUGAAAAAAAUUCUCUAAGCAAGUAACAAAUUUUAAAAUUAAAUUAUAGUGUGUAUAUGUUCGUCUAAAGUACUCCACAAUACAAUUACUAAUAAAAUUAACAAGAAAAAUAAACAUUCGAUGCAAUUUUUCUAAUUAUUAUUGCAUCCUAUUUUUGUGUUAUUCCCUUUUUAAUAUUAAGCACAUACUCUUUAUUAUAAUUAGUUGAUCAUUGGUCAAUCAUAAAUGCAUGGAAACUAUCUCUCUCAUCGCUAAAAAUUUUAAAAUAUUCAAACAAGAUUAAUAAAGAAAACAUAUAAUUAUAUUUUUAAAAAUAAAUAUAUGAUCUAAAUUUAAUUAUUAUUGUAUAAAAAAUAUUUUUAAACUUAAAUAACAUAAGAUGUAUUUACAAAAGCUAUAAAAUAAUUAUAUUUGAGUGUAAUUGUUUGUAAUUAUUCUUCUAAUUACCUUAAUUUUAAUUAAAAUACUUCGAUUACAUUCAAUUCAAUGAGAUCAACUAAUAAUAAUUACCAAAAAUUUCACAUAUAUAUAAUUAUAAAUAAUUACAACAAUUUGCAAUUACUAAAUGAUUCUCUAAACAUACAGUUUCUGAAUUUGAAUUUGAUAUUGUGAACUAGAAAUUUGUUAUUAAAACUUUUUAAAAAAUAAGGUAAAUAAUCAAAAUAGUUAUUUGUGUUUCCCUUAAGUUUUAUUUUAGUCACUUAUGUUUGAAAUAUUACGUAUUAGUCAUUUGCGUUAACAUGUUGUAAUAUUUUAGCCACUGAUCCGUUAAUUGCCAUUAGUGGUGUAACGGUAAACUGACAUGGCACGUUAAAUAAAAAAUUUAGGUUAAAUCAAACAAUCGGUCCCUAUAUCAUUUUAAGCAAUUUAUUUUUUUCUUUUAUAUUCUUUUAACUUUCCUUCUCUUUUCCUUUUUUUUUCCCAUUCUCUUUUACUUCUCCGGUUCUCCCUCUAUUUUCCUCUAUUCUUCAUCUCUUUUAACGUAAAAGAGAAAAAAAAUUGCUCAAAAUAAAAAAAUAUAGGGACAAAUUCUAUAAUUUAACCUAAAAUUUUCGUUUGAAAUGAUGAUUUAACGUAUCACGUCAGCUUACCGUUACACUGUUAACGAAAGUUAACCUUCAGUGACUAAAAUAUUACAACACGAUAAUAUAAGUGAUUAAAACGUAACAUUUUAAAUAUAAGUGACUUAAAUAUAACUUGAGAGAAACAAAAUUAAUUAUUUUAAUAGUUUACCUACAGAAAUUAUGAAAUAUAACGUGAUUGUUGCUCCCCUAAUCUCUUAAUAAUAAUAUUGGGAUUUGAUCUUCGUCUAUAAAAAUAAAGCUUAUUUAUUUAGAAGAGCACCUACAAAAAUGAAUUAAUCAAUUAUUAUUAUCCACAGUGGAUACCCAAAUUUCCACCGUACACAUCAUUAAGAUUUGAUCCCAUAAUAUAUGAGUACAAGAUGAACGCUAUUUCCCAAUGAUGUCAAAACCGAACAAUUCGUUUUUAUACACUGCAUUAUUUUAAUAUCAACUUGAUAAAAGGUAUCCCCCAUUCAGUUAUGGCAUUUGACUUUCUCUGUUUUCAAGGAUGGCGAUCUGGUUCAAUAUACUGUCAAAAUUUUUUGUUUCUUUCUGUACCUUCCAAUCUCUCCUCAUCCAGAUUCUGCCAUGCCAAAACCCAAACCACAGCUUCCAAUCCAUGGCCUCGUGGCCGCUAUUGUUGUUUUACUUCAAUUACCGGAACUUUGUGUGGCCAAAACCAGAAACAAAUAUUGCAACUCAACUGUUUGUGGAAAUGUCACAAUCAGCUACCCUUUUCGAUUACCAACCCAACCUCCCAACUGCGGCGAACCUCGAUUGGAACUCGACUGCGACAGCAACAACCGCACCGUUUUAUCCUUAAACCAUGGCAGAUUCUACGUCCAAAAGAUCUGGUACGAAUACUCUACGAUCCGAGCUAUUGACCCAAACCUCGCUGUGGAUGAUUGUUCCCUUCCUCGCGGCUCCUUAUUGUUCUGGGAUAAAAGGCCGUAUCCUUGGGUUUUCCCAUUGAGUUUCAUGUAUGUAGUGAACUGCACAAAGGCGAUUAAAUCAUCUUUGUAUAUUGAUGCCUC
rnacentral:lncRNA from 1 species